UACGGAGGGGGCUAGCGUUGUUCGGAAUUACUGGGCGUAAAGCGCGCGUAGGCGGCUUUGUAAGUUAGAGGUGAAAGCCCGGAGCUCAACUCCGGAACUGCCUUUAAGACUGCAUCGCUAGAAUCAUGGAGAGGUGAGUGGAAUUCCGAGUGUAGAGGUGAAAUUCGUAGAUAUUCGGAAGAACACCAGUGGCGAAGGCGGCUAUC
rnacentral:rRNA from 1 species